UGAGUAAGACAGAUGGUCGCGGCUGACAGUCCGAAAGGUGUCAGACGAGGAAAGUCCGGGCUUCAUAGGGCAGGGUGCCGGAUAACAUCCGGUGGAGGCGACUCCAAGGACAGUGCAACAGAAAUGAACCGCCCGCUUUGGCGGGUAAGGGUGGAAGGGCAGUGUAAGAGACUACCGCCCGGCUGGUAACAGACGGGGCACAUGUAAACCCCAUCCGAAGCAAGACCGAAUAGAGACAUACGGCGGCCCGUCGGUCUCAGGUAGGUCGCUUGAGCCUGCUGGCAACAGCAGGCCUAGAUAGAUGACCAUCCAACGACAUAACCCGGCUUAUCGUUUUGCUCAUUAA
rnacentral:RNase_P_RNA from 1 species